rnacentral:lncRNA from 1 species
GCUGAACAGAAACAACAUUCUGGUGAGUAAAAGUGUUAUAAUGAGUUGCAUUGAAUUGUAUUGUAUACUAUCCUUGGUUUGGUUUGGUUUGGUUCUGACUGGGGUAUAAAUUAUUUAAUUGGUGGGCUGCCACAUUUAAGCAGGUGAAACCUGGAGAACAAAAACAGCCUGCUGCUGGUGAGUAGAGUGAAAGACGAAGAUGAAGACGGGGUUAUAUAUUGAUACAUAUCCCUGUUUGGUGGUUCCCCUUUGUUGAAAGAAAGAGCAAUACCGGUGGUAGUUGAUUUUUUUCUGGAAAGGGAACAUGCAAAUAUGCAACGCAGGAGGAGGCAUGCUAAGCUUAGGGUUGGCUUGCGGGGCCUGAAUAAAGAGAAAAGAAGGAAACUUUUCCCCUGCAUAACAGUUAGAAAAGAGGAAGAGAGAAAGCAGAGCGAGCUUGGGAGAGGAAUUCGAGGAUGUGAUGGUGCAACAACGGUGAAUGUAAAAAAGGAAGGAAAAGGUGGAGUGGGGUUGGUGGUGGUGGCAAAGUUAGGAUAGUGAGAGAAGUAAGCAGGCAGCCCAGUGAGUGGUGGGUCUCUGGGGCUUGUGUAGUUUCUUUAUUGCUUUCUCUUAUUAGGGUUAUUUUAUUUGUUAGAUUAUUUAUUAUUCUCAAUUUCGUUUUCAUGAUGACUUUUUAUUUGCAGAUAUAGAUAUUAGGCAACUAACUAGCCACUUUUUUUUAAUCUUCUCUCUAUCUCUCUGUGUACAACUAUUCCCUGUUCUUUGAAUUUAGC